UGAAUUGUCCUCGUCGUUAAUAUGUGCAUAACAUGAGCGAGCGGCGCGCUGACGAACAAUGAGGCCGUUUCAUCUUCAGCCGAGUGCCACCGUGAUGAAUAUUCAAAGUGGGGAAACCGGGCUUUAAACGACUUCUUCGUCUCCCGUGGAUGUUUGGUUUUUGUCACGCAGAGAGAACAAACCUUCCUCUCCCUCCGGCCUCUUGAAGAACAAAAAGAAGCCUGAAUUUGGAUGCUGAGUUUUCAAGGAUGCCUCGGUCUGCGGCGCCGCCAGACUGCUUUAAAAGCCUCCGUUGACUCGUCCCGCCUGCCGUCUCUGGAGCUGAAGCUGGAUUGGAACAGACCAAAGUACAGUCCAAUCACGAUGCCAGCUGCCUCUCAAAAGGCUCCUUCAUCUGGCAGGUGGCAGCACUUCUUCUGAGGGGAAGCUGAGCUGGCCCAGCAGAACUUUGGAGAUGUGUUCCAGUGGUUGGUGGAUGUGUGGGGAGAUAGAGAGAGACCUUUGAAUUGUUCACAAAGGAAAACAGGGAACCCAUUGGUUUUGUAUGUUUUUGUGGUGAUUUUGUGUCUUUUUGUGGUGAUUUUGUGUCUUUUUGUGGUGAUUUUGUGUCUUUUGUUGAUGAUUCAUUUAAAAAGCAGGAGACUAAAAUCUAAAACUAACCUAUAAAGCUCAUUUUCAUCACCAGACUUUGUUUUUUAAACCAAUAUUCCGAUUUUUUUUUCAACAGAACAUCAAUUUAGAAAAAAAAAACCUUAAAAAUGAAGAAAGAGGUUCAGGAUGAUUUAUUAAUAUUCUGCAUUAUUUAGGUCUCUUUGUGGCACACAGAAUAAUAAAAUAGUCCAGAUUUAUUAAUGCAGCCAUCCAAAAAAAAUAAAAUAUGAAUAAAUAAUUAGAGUAUUUGCAUGUAUUGGAGGAAUUUUAGACAUUUAAUAAAUAUAUGGAUGCUUUAAAAGAAUAAACAGCUCAUUAGUUUCAAUGAAACUAGUUUUUAGUUUGAAAUAAGAGAAGUCGAUAAAGAUUUGGUGUAAAAUGAAGUUAAAUCUGCUUUUUAAAUACAUAAAGCUUCAUGUUGGGGUCAAAAUGUGUAAAAAUGAGAUGAUUAUUGUCGAGGAAUGACUUGAGUUUGUCUCCAGUGAAGGGAUCCGAUUCAAUUAAAGCUUCUUAAACUGAUGAACCCUGACUCUGCUGCAGUAAUUGUGUUUUUUCCAGGUUGUGUUGAUGAUUCAGUCCCAUGUAAUCCUAAAUAACGCGUUUCUGCCUCCUCCUCACUCUUCUUUCUCUCCUUUGUUGAUGUUUUUACCCGAAAAUUCUGCUUUCUCUGCUCAUUAAUCUCCAGAUGAUUCACAUUCAGCAUGAUUUAAUCCCACCUUUGUUCAUUUUUCAUUUAAUGUUGGUUUAUUUUCAGGUUUUAGUUGUUAAAUUAAAAUGUCUUUGCAGCACUGCGGAUAAUUUUAGGGUUAAAGAUUAUAAUUAGAGCUGGAUUUAUUUUUAAAACUUGAUUUUUGGCUGCAGUGUUUGUACUGAUUGUGUUCAGGUGUUGACUGGAAAUGCAGAUAAAGAUGUCUUUGUGGUGAUUUUACGUCUUUUUGUGGUGAUUUUGUCUCUUUGUGGUGAUUUUGUGUCUUUUUGUGGUGACUGUGUCUUUCAAUACAAAUUUUGCAUCCUUUUGUGGUAAUUUUGCAUCUUUUUGUGGUAAUUUUGCAUCUUUUGUGGUGAUUUUACAUCUUUUUGUGGUAAUUUUAAAUCUUUUGCGGUGAUUUUACAUCUUUUUGUGGUUAUUUUAAAUCUUAUUGUGGUGAUUUUACAUUUUUUUGUGGUUAUUUUGCAUCUUGUGUGGUGAUUUUGCAUCUUUUGUGGGGGUUUUGCAUCUUUUGUGGGGGUUUUGUAUGUUUUUGUGGUAAUUUUACAUCUUUUUGUGAUGAUUUUGUGUCUGUUAAUUUUGAGUCUUUUAGGACUGAUUUUGUGUAAUUUCAUGGUAAUUUUGCCUCUUUUUGUGGUGAUUUUUUCAUCUUUUAGUGGUUAUUUUAAAUCUUAUUGUGGUUAUUUUGCAUCUUUUUGUGAUUAUUUUGCAUCUUUUGUGGUGAUUUUACAUCUUUUUGUGGUUAUUUUGCAUCUUUUGUGGUGAUUUUACAUCUUUUUGUGGU